rnacentral:rRNA from 1 species
CGGCUCACCAAGGCGACGAUGCGUAGCCGACCUGAGAGGGUGGCCGGCCACACUGGGACUGAGACACGGCCCAGACUCCUACGGGAGGCAGCAGUAGGGAAUUUUCGGCAAUGGGGGGAACCCUGUCCGAGCAACGCCGCGUGAAGGAAGAAGGAAUUCGUUCUGUAAACUUCUGUUAUAAAGGAAGAAAGACGGAUGGAGGAAAUGACAUCCGAGUGACGGUACUUUAUGAGAAAGCCACGGCUAACUACGUGCCAGCAGCCGCGGUAAUGCGUAGGUGGCAAGCGUUAUCCGGAAUUAUUGGGCGUAAAGAGGGAGCAGGCGGCAGCAAAGGUCUGUGGUGAAAGACUGCAGCUUAACUUCAGUAAGCCAUAGAAACCGGGCAGCUAGAGUGCAGGAGAGGAUCGUGGAAUUCCAUGUGUAGCGGUGAAAUGCGUAGAUAUAUGGAGGAACACCAGUGGCGAAGGCGACGAUCUGGCCUGCAACUGACGCUCAGUCCCGAAAGCGUGGGGAGCAAAUAGGAUUAGAUACCCUAGUAGUCCACGCCGU